GUUUGGGUCCUGCGCAAUAAGAAUCUGCGAACCUCGUCAGGUCCGGAAGGAAGCAGCGAUAAGUGGAAUCUCUUAUGUGCCGCAGAUAAGCCUUCUCUAU
rnacentral:SRP_RNA from 1 species